UACGGAAGGCAGCAGUGGGGAAUAUUGCACAAUGGGCGAAAGCCUGAUGCAGCUAUGCCGCGUGUAUGAAGAAGGCCUUAGGGUUGUAAAGUACUUUCAUCGGGGAGGAAAAAACAAAACUAAUAAUUUUAUUUCUUGACGUUACCCGAAAAAGAAGCACCGGCUAACUCCGUGCCAGCAGCCGCGGUAAUACGGAGGGUGCUAGCGUUAAUCAGAAUUACUGGGCGUAAAGAGCACGUAGGCGGUUUUUUUAAGUCAGAUGUGAAAUCCCUGGGCUUAACCUAGGAACUGCAUUUUGAAACUGAAAUACUAGAGUAUCGUAGAGGGAGGUAGAAUUCUAGGUGUAGCGGUGAAAUGCGUAGAUAUCUGGAGGAAUACCUGUGGCGAAAGCGGCCUCCUAAACGAAUACUGACACUGAGGGUGCGAAAGCGUGGGGAGCGAAACAGGGAUUAGAUACC
rnacentral:rRNA from 1 species